UACGGGGGGAGCAAGCGUUGUUCGGAUUUACUGGGCGUAAAGGGCGCGUAGGCGGUCAGCACAAGUCAGUUGUGAAAUCUCCGGGCUUAACUCGGAAAGGUCAACUGAUACUGUGCGACUAGAGUGCGGAAGGGGCAACUGGAACUCUCGGUGUAGCGGUGAAAUGCGUAGAUAUCGAGAGGAACACCUGCGACGAAGGCGGGUUGCUGGGCCGACACUGACGCUGAUGCGCGAAAGCCAGGGGAGCGAACGGG
rnacentral:rRNA from 1 species